GCGCCGUUGGUCUAGUGGUAUGAUUCUCGCUUAGGGUCACACCCGAAGCAAUGCUUGCGAGAGGUCCCGGGUUCAAUCCCCGGAUGGCGCC
rnacentral:tRNA from 1 species